AGGGUUAAAUCUGUUUUGUGUUCUGUUUAUUGAAAAAUGAUUUUUUUUUGUUUUGCUUCUGUUAUUUUUCUUUCAUUUUUAGGAAAUUUUUAUUGAAUUAGUUGUUAAAAUGCUGUUUAUUUACUUCAUUGGUAUAGUAAACGGCAAUAUCAAUUAUGAAAAAUAAUUGACAGCUAGUGUACAAGAAUUAAAAUGGUGGAAAGAAAUUAAAAUGAAUCAGCUAGUGACAGGUGUGCCAAGUCAAGGUGGAACAGCAUAUGCUGAUGACUGCCUGGCUAAGAGGGAGCUUAGUCGUUAAUAUGCUAACUCUGGAUACCAGGCGCGCUCCUGUUUAAAUUGGCCUUCCCAUGGUAUGCCGGGCUCUGCCAUAGGUAACCGUAUUUCCACGCUAUUCGUGGGACCACAAUGAAUGGAAAAAUAAAAAAACAACAACAAUAACUUCACAUGCAACGUCAGGGACAUAUCAACGAUGUGAUAUCCGUCACAUGCAACAACAAGGGCACCAGGGAUUGGAUUACCAAUGUCUGCAGCAGGAUUAAGCCUUGGGACAGCUGUAACAUAGCUGUGCUAGAUGGCGACAACAUUUCCAGACAGCUACCUGUGUCUGUGGGAAGAAAAAUCCCAGCCUGAAGAUGAGCUCUUGGAGGGUGCUUCGUAUGGAUAGAGAAAAGAACGGGGUGCUCCAUCACCUUCUCCGUAGACGAUUCCGGUUUGGAGGAUUUACGGAAAGCGGAAUUUUUCUUAGUUUCUACUGAAUAACCGUCGGGGUGAAAGAGAAAAAGCUUAUACAGUGUGUUGGCGUCAGGGCAGGGUCAUAGGAGCCGAUAAGACCAACGCUUGGCGCAGAAAUUAUGAGGGGAACCGAAAGAACCUAAGCCCAUUGGGGAACCUGAAACGACUUCAAAAGUUGCAGCUGGAGCGGAUAGGCCUCCACCUCCUGCGAAGGCAAAAAGGGAGGGCGAGCCGAAAAAGAAAAAACUUACUGGCGUGCUAGUUAAGAAGGCCAAAAGGGGGUCCCGUGUGGGCCCUUUGUCUAAAUGGAUAAAGCAAAUACAUAAGAGGGCCUAACAGAUUACUGCUCCAAGGAUCAGGUAACUGCGUUGGUGAAGAUGAGAUCCCCCGGGGGUUGGACAGAGUUUGUUGUAUGCUCAUCCUAUCUACCGAGUGACUGUGCCCAUUCAGAUGAACAGUUGAAGGAUCUAGUGGACUUCUGUAGAAGAAGGAACUUCCAGCUGAUAACAGAAAGUGAUGCCAAUGCCCACUACACUUUCUGGGGAAGCAGUAAUAUAAGUGAAAGAGAUUUUAUGCCAAAUUUAAUCGCAAAUUGGAUUUGAAUUAUACACAAAUAAUAACACAUUAAAUAUGAGGACGGAUAAGCGGGGAAGGCGG